rfam:Trichomonas vaginalis G3, whole genome shotgun sequence.
GUAGUCUGCCAUACGCAGGAAGACCCGCUGAAGUGAAGCAUCUCAUUAAGCGGAGGAAAAGAAACUAACUAGGAUUCCCUUAGUAAAGGCGAUCGAAAAGGGAACAGCCCAACGUCUUAAUCCCGCAAGGGAAAUGUAGUCGGUUCACCUAUUGCACUGGUUUAAGUCAGAUGGAAUGCUGCGCGAUUCAGAGUAAAAGCCUUGUAUGACCAACCGCAAGCUUACGAUGGACCGGGGAGAGUCGGAUACUUUGAGAGUAGUGUCUUAAGGGGGUGGUAUGUCCCAUCCAAGGCUAAAUAACGUGAGGAGACCGAUAGAUUACAAGUAGUGUGAACGAAAGAUGAAAAGAACUCUAAAACAGAGGGUGAAAAGUUCCUGAACUUGCUUAGGGUUAAGGCUAUUUAUAGUACCCGUCUUGAAACACGGAUUAGGGAGUUUAUCUGUAGUGCGAGUCUUUGCACGUUAACUGUAAAGGCGUAGAGAAAGCAACUGGCGUUUGCAUGGCU